GAUGAACGCUGGCGGCGUGCCUAAUACAUGCAAGUCGAGCGAACAGACGAGGAGCUUGCUUCUCUGACGUUAGCGGCGGACGGGUGAGUAACACGUGGAUAACCUACCUAUAAGACUGGGAUAACUUCGGGAAACCGGAGCUAAUACCGGAUAAUAUAUUGAACCGCAUGGUUCAAUAGUGAAAGACGGUUUUGCUGUCACUUAUAGAUGGAUCCGCGCCGCAUUAGCUAGUUGGUAAGGUAACGGCUUACCAAGGCAACGAUGCGUAGCCGACCUGAGAGGGUGAUCGGCCACACUGGAACUGAGACACGGUCCAGACUCCUACGGGAGGCAGCAGUAGGGAAUCUUCCGCAAUGGGCGAAAGCCUGACGGAGCAACGCCGCGUGAGUGAUGAAGGUCUUCGGAUCGUAAAACUCUGUUAUUAGGGAAGAACAAAUGUGUAAGUAACUGUGCACGUCUUGACGGUACCUAAUCAGAAAGCCACGGCUAACUACGUG
rnacentral:rRNA from 1 species